UCAAAGAGAAGCAAGACUGUGAAGUGGAGCAAAACUCAAAAACCGGUCCCAGUUCGGACUGCAGGCUGAAACUCGCCUGCACGAAGUUGGAGUUGCUAGUAAUCGCAGAUCAGAAUGCCGCGGUGAAUGCGUUCCCGGGUCUUGUACACACCGCCCGUCACACCAUGGAAGUUGGGGGCGCCCGAAGUUGGUCAAGAAGAGAUUACCUAAGGCGAAACCAAUGACUGGGGUGAAGUCGUAACAAGGUACC
rnacentral:rRNA from 1 species